rnacentral:rRNA from 1 species
AAAGAGAAGCGAAGCGGUGACGUGGAGCAAACCUCAGAAAGCCAAUCUCAGUUCGGAUUGUAGGCUGCAACUCGCCUACAUGAAGUUGGAAUCGCUAGUAAUCGCGAAUCAGAAUGUCGCGGUGAAUACGUUCCCGGGUCUUGUACACACCGCCCGUCACACCACGAGAGUUUACAACACCCGAAGUCAGUGGCCUAACCGCAAGGAGGGAGCUGCCUAAGGUGGGGUAGAUGAUUGGGGUGAAGUCGUAACAAGGUAAC